rnacentral:tRNA from 1 species
CAGGUAUAGUUUAGUGGCAAAACGGAUGCUUCCCAAGCAUUAGUUGCGGGUUCGAUUCCCGCUACUUG